GAUGAACGCUGGCGGCGUGCCUAAUACAUGCAAGUCGAACGAAACUUCUUUAUCACCGAGUGCUUGCGCUCACCGAUAAAGAGUUGAGUGGCGAACGGGUGAGUAACACGUGGGCAACCUGCCCAAAAGAGGGGGAUAACACUUGGAAACAGGUGCUAAUACCGCAUAACCAUAGUUACCGCAUGGUAACUAUGUAAAAGGUGGCUAUACUACCGCCUUUGGAUGGGCCCGCGGCGCAUUAGCUAGUUGGUAGGGUAAAGGCUUACCAAGGCAAUGAUGCGUAGCCGAAUUGAGAGGUUGAUCGGCCACAUUGGGACUGAGACACGGCCCAAACUCCUACGGGAGGCAGCAGUAGGGAAUCUUCCACAAUGGGCGAAAGCCUGAUGGAGCAACGCCGCGUGGGUGAAGAAGGUCUUCGGAUCGUAAAACCCUGUUGUUAGAGAAGAAAGUGCGUGAGAGUAACUGUUCACGUUUCGACGGUAUCUAACCAGAAAGCCACGGCUAACUACGUG
rnacentral:rRNA from 1 species